AUUGGUUUACCUGCACGCUCAUUCUCUCUCCCUCAAUCUCACCAUUUGUUUGCCGUAAACCACCGCGCCGGCGAAUGUCGCCGGUGACAGUGGUAGCUUAAACCUAAAUUACAACCAUCAUUGGAUGCACAAGGAUGCGAUGCGCAUGAAUUUGACAAUGGAUUUGGGAGAUGGUUACUGAAUUUUCCAAAUCGAACGAACCGGUGGAAGAACCCUAACUCCCUAAAUUCAAAUUAAAUGGAAACAGGCAAGAAUCGGCCUCUACCACCAUGGGGGUUUGAUUCCCUAGCCUAGAUACUACAUUUUGGUACGCUCAAAGCAAGAAAACACCACAGAAGAGAAACAGACUUACCGGAGAAGACGAUCGAAAACUUCAACAGGUUUUGAUUUUGACAGGCUUGGCAAUGAGAAUAUUUCCUGCCAGUUAUGACCUUGGUUUGAUGCAAAAUAUUGGCAAGGCCUUGAGUGUGUUACAGGGUUGGUUCCUGUUGAAUGUUGCAGAUAUUACUGGUGCCUAGCCCAACUGUGAGCACACUUGACCACUCCUCUUACUUGCUGGUUUGGUGGAGCUUAGCCUCAAGAUUGGAAUUGAUUUCCUAACUGCAUGAUGCAAACCUAUGAUGUGUUGUUGUAGUCAAUGUUGUUUAGUUGGUUCGCUUGUUGAUAGGGUUUGCUGCAGGUUGCAGGAUGGUAAGAAUUCAGGUCAUGGUGCCUUGGUGAAGGUUGGUACAUGGCAAGUAUUGUGUCAAUUCUUUUGUCCAAUUAAUGGUUGUGAAUUAAGUUUGAUGGUGAUCUUGCUUAGUGUACUUCUGGCUUGUGUUUUGCAUCCUAGGUGCAGCAUGACUUAUGGCUCCUUGGCUUGUUGUGUUGCAAUUGUAUGAUGUGUAUCGUGAUACAUUGCAGGUCUGGCUAGGUAUGUACUCCAUUUUGUAGGCAUGCAUGAAUGUUUCCCAAUUUCAAUUCCUGUUGAACCUCAAAACUGGCCAAGUUGGGACUGCUAUGAAAUGCUUGUAUUCUGUAGUGUCUCAUGUUUGUGCAGGUAUAACUUGGUCUUGGCAAGGUUUUGGUAGUAAAUUGGUCUUGCUAUAGAAUCAAGUAGUUAUGUUUGUUGCUGGCCCAUGUGAUGGUCAUGUUGCAUCAUGAAUGAUGUGCAGUAAGAUCCAUUUAUGAUUUUUCAUGCUUCAUGUGAUGCAUGUAUAGUCAUGUUAGGCUGGAAUUCUCAAGGGCCUGGAUGUGGUUCUGCAGUGUUUUAGUUUCAGUUGGCAUGAAUUUGGAAGGUGGUUAUCACUAUUGUCCUUGUAUGACCAAUUGAUAUUGGGACAGUUUUGGACUUGUUCUUCUGUCCACCAUGAUGUUGUUUGUAGCUUUAUCGACCUUAAGCUUGGUGUCAUUUGGAACAUGAGUACUGCAACAUGCUCACAACUGACUUCAGGUGAAAUUUGGGGAAGGCAAGGCAGUUAAGCUUGUCAGUACAAGGCCAUAACCAUUUUUCUGGCUAAUUCUGGUUUGGCAGUAUGUCAGUUAGUUUUGUAGAGUUGUUUUUGCUGAUGUUUCCAACUGGUUUCUACAGGUUUGAUUCUAGCUGCUAGAGCCUUCAUGAGCAUUUCUCCUCAUCGUGAGUUCAAAGCCAAAUGCAAUGUAUAUUGUUAUGCCCAAAUGGUUAAUAUGCAUGUCAUUGUGGUAUUUGAUUGUUGGUGAAUGCAUGGCUAUGUCCAACAAAGGAAAGUCAUGCUUGCAUAGGCAAAAGUGACCAAGUCAUGGUAGAGUAAGUGUGGUCUUGAAAAUGGGCCAAGUUACUUGAAAAUGAAGAAAACAAACAAGAGCAUAUCAAAUCAAGACCUAUGGAUGAUAUAUCAAGGCCAAGUGGGUUAGAUUAGAUUUUUAAUGGUGAAAAAUGGGAAGGUUGACUUUGGUCAAAGUUGACAAAAAAGUCAACUGUUGACCAAAGUCAACAAAAGGUCAAAAUUCAAAUUUCUUGGUAUUUUCUUUGUAAAUGGACAAUGUAUUGAUGAUCAUGGUGAAAUUUAGGGUAUUAGGGUCUUGGGUUGAUUUUGGUCAAAAUUGACCAAAAAGUCAACUGUUGACCAAAGUCAACAAUUGGUUAAAAAUGUCAAUUCUUGUAUUUUCUCAUAUAGAAUCACAUGUAAUGGUUUAAAAUGACAUAUAAUGGACUGAAAUAGAUUAACAAA